rnacentral:rRNA from 1 species
AUUGAACGCUGGCGGCAUGCCUAACACAUGCAAGUCGAACGAGUGGCGGACGGGUGAGUAAUGUCUGGGAAACUGCCUGAUGGAGGGGGAUAACUACUGGAAACGGUAGCUAAUAUCGCAUACCACCAUAUGUGCCCAGAUGGGAUUAGCUAGGUGGUGGGGUAAAGGCUCACCAAGGCGACGAUCCCUAGCUGGUCUGAGAGGAUGACCGGCCAAACUGGGACUGAGACACGGUCCAGACUCCUACGGGAGGCAGGAGGUGGGAAUCUUUGGCAAUGGGCGCAAGGCUGAUUGAGCCAUGCCGCGUGAUUGAAGAAGGCCUUCGGGUUGUAAAGUUCUUUCGGGGGGGAAGCGUUACCCACAGAAGAAGCACCGGCUAACUCCGUGCCAGCAGCCGCGGUAAUAC